rfam:Trichobilharzia regenti genome assembly, scaffold: TRE_scaffold0028555
GUGCUGAUGAAGAGUACCAAACUAGGACGAAACAGCUGUCCAGUAC